rnacentral:piRNA from 1 species
UUUAAAGGACUGAUGGAAGCAAGAUGGAA